rnacentral:lncRNA from 1 species
AGCCUUCUAUUGUCUUCUGUGAGAUUCUCUUGAGGAACUCGCAGUCCACCUCCGUCUGCUUCAAUUUCAUCCAGUGAAAUCGGGGGAGUCGGAGGUGGGGCAGGGGCGAUGGGGAUCGGACGGUGGUGGUGGAGAGGAUGGUAGUCGGGUGGCGGCGGCACCGUGGAAGGAGCGGAAGCAGUGGCGGUGUUGGUGGAGUUCAUGGAGGACCCCGCUCCGAUCGGAUCAUCGCCACCGCCACCGACAGCGUAUUCAUCGAGAGGAAGUUCCUCCGAGGCUACGCGAGGGGGGGUCGGGCUGCGGCCGAGAGGGGG